UAACCUUAGGCUUCUGUACAAGUGCAUUUACAUAAUUCAAGUGCUGUCAGAAAGCUGCUGUCUGCCUGUUCACCAUAGGAGAAGAGUAGGACAACAAGAAUACUCUGGUGCUUAUCGUGUUCCAGCUUAUGGUAAUAAUCAGUUACGGAUGCAAGCUUAUCUGAGACCAGAAAUAACUUUGAUGUUCACCCUGGAAUAAUCUCAAGAUCCAAAAAGACACAACAGGCAUUUAAGUGCUUAUAUUCCUUAUAUAACCAUGGAAGACAUGUAGGAGCCUCGAGGCUUUCAAGGGGAGAUUGUAUCUGCCUAAUUGAGCGAGACUCUUGGAGACUUCAGAAUCACUUACUGAUCCCCACUGACCAUAUAAUGAAGAAGUACUCUACCUGAGGCACCUAAUAAAAAGCCUGGACACAGCUUCAUGCCUGAACAGGAAUUUCAGAGGAGAAGGUAAGGACAUCAUGUUUAGGCCCAGAAUUUUGAGCUAAAGAGAUCUGAAAGAAGUCUAUGUCCCUGUUAUUCAUCCUUCUACAAAAGUAAGACAACAUUGUACUAAAGAAGAAAAGAGUACUUAUGGGUUAUUUAUUCCAAAACAACCUCAUAUCUCAUGAUAGACAUAACUGUGUGUUUAUAUUUUACCAUUUUAUAAGGCAUAGUACUGAAGAAUUUUCAGCAGAAGAGGAGAAAAUAUAGCUGAUAAGGUAGUCCAGUUCAUUGGGCUGAAAGUUUCGCUUCCACUUUCACUGGAAGGGGAGAUUUUGAAAUGACGGGACCGAUUAACUUAAAGAAGACAAAACAAACAAAAAAAAUACUAGAAUAAAAACCCCUGAAAGAAAACCUAUUAUCCCUCA
rnacentral:lncRNA from 1 species